UCCAGAGUCCACGCCCGCACUGCUUGCUUUGUGAAAUUCCAGACUGUUUAAUCGGCUCUACCUCAGCCUAAGAACUCCGGAUUCCAUUUUUCUUAAUGACUUUCUCCUCCUUAAAUGCCUACACAGUUAUCUUUGAAGAAGGAGAAAAAGAAUAGAUGAAUCACUUGCAGGAAACAGGGGGCAGAGACAUGUGGUUGGAACGGCAGAUGGCUGUGUGUGUGGGCACAUCGCUGUCUCUGUUGUUCCUUCCACCACCCUCUGGAAAUGAAGCCUUUGGAAGAGUACAUUCAUUCCAGAGUGGGGGCUGCGCCCGCUUUCAGGUGCUGACAUGCAAACCCACAUCCACACGGCUUCUUCUCAGACAUCGGAACUCCGGGGAGAGUAGAAAACUCAGGCUCUGGCCCAGAUUGGACCAUUCAUCCUCUCCUCCAAGUUUUGACAUUAAACCUUCUAAAGAUAAAGUAAUAAGCUACAUACAAUUAGUGGCAACGGAUUUCUCAUGCUGUCUUUUUUGUCCUGCAGGAUAUGAAAAGGCUUCAUGGAGGCCCUCCUGUCACUUCUACAUAAAUUCCCAAGUGUCAUCUGGAUGUAUAUGCUAAGAUAAGUAAUUGUUAUUUUAUUUUUAGAUGUAUGAAACUCACUUCACUGACAGACUCUUAAGAGAGUCCUCAGUCACUGCCAUCUGCCCUCCCUACCGUAGACACAUAUGCUACAGGACCUUGUUGUAAGCACACAAAUGUGCAGAAAGAUAAGAGUUUGUCACCUUUUUCCUUGGUGCAUUAGAAGUUUUGGUAAAAUAUGCAUCUAGAAGUCGAAAUAUAUUCCUGAGCACAAAUUACAUACUAUCUGGAAACAAAGCACUGAGAUUAGCAGUUUUAAAAUUAAUGAACACUCCUUUAAAAAUUAACGUUAUAAUACAAAUCAUCUGAUCAAGAAUGAGUAAACUCAGUCCAGAAACCAAUCUGAAUAGCCAUAAAAAAUAUUUCAUCAAUCAUAAAUCCCAUUAAUAAUAGAAUUUCUACCCCUAUACUCAUUACGAUUUGAUGACUCAUUUAUCUGAAAGUCGUUCAUCUUAACCUUCACGAAAGCACUAAUUCUUGAAUCCUGAAAUGCUUUAAAAUUAUCUUCCGUAAUUUUAAAACAUGACCAUACUGGACUAAUUUUUGUGCCUUUCAACAUCCCCCCAGUCCCACCUGAUCCCUGGGCUUCAGCCUCCUCCUGAAUGGACAGACUCCUGAGGGUGCAGCUUUGGAAAGACCACAUCUCACCUGCUGCAUCAGUAGCCAGGGGCUCCAGGACCCAGGUCUGAGCUGAUGAGGCUCUUGGACCUUAUGGAUGGCCAAUCCCCUCCCACAUCUUCCAGGCAGCUCAGCACCAUCUCCCUCCUGGUGAACUGCUUCAAGGAUUGGAUAUAGUAGCUCUUUGCUCAGAUUGACUGCUUCUGCCCAGCUUGGUGUGGAGAACCAGGACAACAGACAGUGGCCUUUCCUAUAUCCACCCUGCUAUUUACAAACCUACCUCCUGAUUGCCGUUUUAUUGUCUCUGAUGCUAUCUUCUACCUUCAUGGAGUCCUUACCUCCCUUCUCACUUACAGCGAAUUCCUCCUAUGUACUCGUGAUAAAGCCAGUUCAAAGUAAUAUUCAAAAUCCCUUUGACUCGGGAUAUUCUGUUUUGUGUAAAAUAUGUGUCUUUUAAUCAGCAGCUAAACAGCAUCAGCUGCCAAGAGCAAGGUGGUACGUGGGGAUUGUAAACAAGGCACUUCGGUGUCACAAGUCUUUCCCAGACUGAGAAAGAGAAGUCAACGGACUUUUUCACUUCUCUGUUUAAUGGGCCAGAUCAUCUCUCAUGGAGGGGGCUGGGGGUGGGGAUAAACGCUUUUAGAUAUUUGGUAGUAUCACUCUUUCCGCCUGAGCAGGAGGAGGGUACUGUGAAUGCCUGGAGAGUAUAUUAAGGCUGUUAUUUUAAUGAGUUCAAAUUCCUUAGAAGGUUUGCAUAGAUAAUAAUGGUUGAGGCAGAGUUUAAGACAAACAACCCUUCUGGGAUUAAAACUAAACAAAAACCGGGGCUCCUUAACCCUGAGCAAUUCUAAGGAGUGAGAGCAGUUUUAAUUACAGCAUGAGAUUUAGAAUGAGUUGAGAAGGAAAAGUCAGGCAUCAGGGAGUUUUGUAUCAAAAUGUGCUUUGGGAUUAUCCAGUGCCUCUACAUGUUUUCUGUUCGAAACCAAUGAUUGAGGGAU